UAUCAUGAAGGAUAUGCCUGUACCAGU
rnacentral:piRNA from 1 species